AGCGAUCGCUGGCGGCAGGCCUAACACAUGCAAGUCGAACGAAGUCUUCGGACUUAGUGGCGGACGGGUGAGUAACACGUGGGAACGUGCCUUUAGGUUCGGAAUAACUCAGGGAAACUUGUGCUAAUACCGAAUGUGCCCUUCGGGGGAAAGAUUUAUCGCCUUUAGAGCGGCCCGCGUCUGAUUAGCUAGUUGGUGAGGUAAAGGCUCACCAAGGCGACGAUCAGUAGCUGGUCUGAGAGGAUGAUCAGCCACAUUGGGACUGAGACACGGCCCAAACUCCUACGGGAGGCAGCAGUGGGGAAUCUUGCGCAAUGGGCGAAAGCCUGACGCAGCCAUGCCGCGUGAAUGAUGAAGGUCUUAGGAUUGUAAAAUUCUUUCACCGGGGACGAUAAUGACGGUACCCGGAGAAGAGGCCCCGGCUAACUUCGUGCCAGCAGCCGCCGUAAAAC
rnacentral:rRNA from 1 species